CCCUUAGAUGUUCUGGGCCGCACGCGUGCUACACUGAUUACUUCAACAAGUGUUUUAACUGGAGAGUUUGCGUAAUCCUGAAAUGUUAUCGUGAUGGGAGUAGAGUAUUGUAUUUGUUAAUCUUUAACGAGGAAUUCCUAGUAAGUGUAGGUUUAUAAGUUGUUCUGAUUACGUCCCUGCCCUUUGUACACACCGCCCGUCGCUCCUACCGAUUGAUUGAUCCGGUGAAUUACAUAGAAUUUUGCGUUUUACAUGACGGAAGAUGAAGUGUUUUAAACCUUAUCAUUUAGAGGAAGGAGAAGUCGUAACA
rnacentral:rRNA from 1 species